AAAUAGCGCGGCGCGGGCGGUAGUUGCUGUGGUUUCCGUUCUGAGCUCGCAGCUGAAGAUCGCGGCCUUAGCGUUCCCGCGUCCGAGUCCGGCCAUCAGUGGCUGCGGAUCCGGAGGCCAGGAGCUCAACCACCCUUCUUCGGAACAGGGUCGGCCCGCUGCUGUGCCUUGGACGCUCGGUGCCUAUAUCUACUCCGGGGCCUAGGUCGGCUCCGGGGGCGGCUUAGGAGAAGGCCGUCGGCGAGAUGUUCAAAAACACGUUCCAGAGCGGCUUCCUCUCCAUCCUCUACAGCAUCGGCAGCAAGCCUCUGCAAAUCUGGGACAAAAAGGUACGGAAUGGCCACAUCAAAAGAAUCACUGAUAAUGAUAUCCAGUCCCUCGUGCUAGAGAUUGAAGGGACAAAUGUAAGGUAGGUUGCCACCUCUGUUCUCCCAGAGACAUCAUAUACUAGGGAGGCAGUAUGUCACAGAGGUUAAUAGCACAGACUGCGGAGUCAGAGUGCCGGAUGUGAGUCCAUCUCUGCCACUUAGGGCUUACCAUGGGCAAGUUACUGAAUCCCCCAGACCUUAGCAUACUCAUCUGUACAAUGGACAGAAUAAUAGUACAUUUUCCUUAUAGGGUUAUUGCGAGGAGUAAAUAAAUGAAUAUAUAAAAAACACUUAAAGCCUUGCUUAGCACACAGUAAGCACUAUGUCAGUAUUAGCUAUAUUAUUAACCAAAGUA
rnacentral:sRNA from 1 species